rnacentral:rRNA from 1 species
GACAGAGGGUGCAAACGUUGCUCGGAGUUACUGGGCGUAAAGCGCGUGUAGGCGGUCACGCAAGUCAGGUGUGAAAGCCCAGGGCUCAACCCUGGAAGUGCACAUGAUACUACGUGGCUGGAGUACUGAAGAGGAGAGCGGAAUUCCCGGUGUAGAGGUGAAAUUCGUAGAUAUCGGGAGGAACACCAGUGGCGAAGGCGGCUCUCUGGGCAGAUACUGACGCUGAGACGCGAAAGCGUGGGUAGCAAACAGG